CAGGAACCCAUUUGAGGAUGCAGUCUGUCCCUUAGCAGAGCUCGAGCACUGUGCUGGGAGAUUUGCUUCUCUCUUCAGAGCCAACAGGCAGGAAUGUUUAAGUCUGCUGAUGCUGUGCCCAUCAGCCGCCCCUUCCCCCAGGUGCUCUGUCCCAGGGAGAUGAGAGUUUUAUCUAUAAGCCCCUGACUGGGGCUGCUGCCUUUUUUUCAGAGAUGCCCUGCCCAGAGAAGAGGAAAUCUAGAGAGGCAGUCUGGCUACAGCAGCUUUGCCAAGCUGCAGUGGGUUCUGCCCAGUCCAAACUUCCCAGCAGCUUUGUUUACACUGUGAGGGGAAAACCACCUACUCAAGCCUCAGUAAUGGUGGACACCCCUCCCACCCACCAAGCUGGAGCAACCCAGGUCGACUUCAGACUUCGGUGUUGGCAGUGAGAAUUUCAAGCCAGUGGAUCUUAGCUUGAUGGGCUCUGUGGCGGGUGGGAUCUGCUGAGCUAGACCACUUGGCUCCCUGGCUCCAGCCCCCUUUCCUGGGGAGUGAAUGGUUCCAUCACACUGGUGUUCCAGACACCACUGGGGUAUGAAAAAAAACUCCUGCAGCUAGCUUGGUGUCUGCCCAAAUGGCUGCCCAGUUUUGUGCUUGAAACCCAGGGCCCUAGUGGUGUAGUCACCAGGGGAAUCUCCUGGUCUGCGGGUUGCAAAGACUGUAGGAAAAGCAUAGUAUCUAGGCCAAAAUGCACCAUUCCUCACGGCCCAGUCCCUCAUGGCUUCCCCUGGAGAGGGGAGGGAGUUCCCUGACCCCUUGUGCUUCCCGGGUGAGCUGAGGCCCCACCCUGCUUCAGCUUGCCCUCCAUGGGCUGCACCCACUGUCUAACCCCCACAAUGAGAUAAGCCAAGCACCUCAGUUGGAAAUGCAGAAAUCACCUACCUUCUGCAUUGAUCAACUGGGAGCUGCAGAACGGAGCUGUUUCUAUUCAGCCGUGUUGCGCUUUCCAUGUAUAUUUUCAUGGCUUGAUAGCACAUUUCUUUUUAGCACUAAGUAAUAUUCUGUUUUCUGGAUGUACCACCCAUUGUGGAAGACAGUGUG
rnacentral:lncRNA from 10 species